AUUAAUUAAAUAAUCACCUUCCUUCAGGAUGUAAUUUCUGAACUACUUUCUUAGACACCAACUGAUCAAUUAAGCCGGAUCCGAUUUAACUUUCGAGGUCACUUGUCCUAUUGAGUUCGAAUUCCUUAAGGACUGAUACUUAGUUAAUUUUAAUUUAGAGGUUUGGAUUAAUACAAAUACAAGAUGGUGGUUUGUGGGCCA
rnacentral:lncRNA from 1 species